GAUGAACGCUGGCGGCGUGCCUAAUACAUGCAAGUCGAGCGAACAGACGAUGAGCUUGCUCCUCUGACGUUAGCGGCGGACGGGUGAGUAACACGUGGAUAACCUACCUAUAAGACUGGUAUAACUUCGGGAAACCGGAGCUAAUACCGGAUAACAUGUUGAACCGCAUGGUUCAACAGUAAAAGACGGUCUUGCUGUCACUUAUAGAUGGAUCCGCGCCGCAUUGGCUAGUUGGUAAGGUAACGGCUCACCAAGGCAACGAUGCGUAGCCGACCUGAGAGGGUGAUCGGCCACACUGGAACUGAGACACGGUCAAGACUCCUACGGGAGGCAGCAGUAGGGAAUCUUCCGCAAUGGGCGAAAGCAUGACGGAGCAACGCCGAGUGAGUGAAGAAGGUCUUCGGAUCGUAAAAAUCUGUUAUUAGGGAAGAACAAAUGUGUAAGUAACUAUGCACGUCUUGACGGUAACUAAUCAGAAAGCCACGGCUAACUACGUG
rnacentral:rRNA from 1 species